GGCGACGACGGGUAGCCGGCCUGAGAGGGCGACCGGCCACACUGGGACUGAGACACGGCCCAGACUCCUACGGGAGGCAGCAGUGGGGAAUAUUGCACAAUGGGCGAAAGCCUGAUGCAGCGACGCCACGUGAGGGAUGACGGCCUUCGGGUUGUAAACCUCUUUCAGCAGGGAAGAAGCGCAAGUGACGGUACCUGCAGAAGAAGCGCCGGCUAACUACGUGCCAGCAGCCGCGGUAAUACGUAGGGCGCAAGCGUUGUCCGGAAUUAUUGGGCGUAAAGAGCUCGUAGGCGGUUUGUCGCGUCUGCUGUGAAAACCUCAGGCUCAACCUGGGGCUUGCAGUGGGUACGGGCAGACUAGAGUGCGGUAGGGGUGACUGGAAUUCCUGGUGUAGCGGUGGAAUGCGCAGAUAUCAGGAGGAACACCGAUGGCGAAGGCAGGUCACUGGGCCGCAACUGACGCUGAGGAGCGAAAGCAUGGGGAGCGAACAGGAUUAGAUACCCUGGUAGUCCAUGCCGUAAACGUUGGGCACUAGGUGUGGGGCUCAUUCCACGAGCUCUGUGCCGCAGCAAACGCAUUAAGUGCCCCGC
rnacentral:rRNA from 1 species